rnacentral:rRNA from 1 species
CGGGACGGGUGAGUAACGCGUGGGUAACCUGCCUUAUACAGGGGGAUAACAGUCAGAAAUGGCUGCUAAUACCGCAUAAGCGCACAGGGCUGCAUGGCUCAGUGUGAAAAACUCCGGUGGUAUAAGAUGGACCCGCGUUGGAUUAGCUGGUUGGUGGGGUAACGGCCCACCAAGGCGACGAUCCAUAGCCGGCCUGAGAGGGUGAACGGCCACAUUGGGACUGAGACACGGCCCAG